GAGGGUAUAGCUCUGUGGUAGAGUGCAUGCUUAGCAUGCACGAGGUCCUGGGUUCAAUCCCCAGUACCUACU
rnacentral:tRNA from 1 species